CUGGGGUGAAGUCGUAACAAGGUAGCCGUAUCGGGAGGUGCGGCUGGAUCACCUCCUUUCUAAGGAGAAUU
rnacentral:rRNA from 1 species